UACGAAGGGGGCUAGCGUUGUUCGGAAUAACUGGGCGUAAAGCGCACGUAGGCGGACUUGUAAGUUGGGGGUGAAAGCCCAGGGCUCAACCCUGGAACUGCCUCCGAUACUGCAAGUCUCGAGUCCGGGAGAGGUGAGUGGAAUUCCUAGUGUAGAGGUGAAAUUCGUAGAUAUUAGGAAGAACACCAGUGGCGAAGGCGGCUCACUGGCCCGGUACUGACGCUGAGGUGCGAAAGCGUGGGGAGCAAACAGG
rnacentral:rRNA from 1 species